AUCAGUAGCCGGCCUGAGAGGGUGGACGGCCACACUGGAACUGAGAAACGGUCCAGACUCCUACGGGAGGCAGCAGUUGGGAAUAUUGCACAAUGGGGGAAACCCUGAUGCAGCAAUGCCGCGUGAAGGAAGAAGGGUCUAGGCUCGUAAACUUCUAUCAGCAGAGAAAAAAAUGACGGUACCCAAGUAAGAAGCCCCGGCUAACUAUGUGCCAGCAGCCGCGGUAAUACAUAGGGGGCAAGCGUUAUCCGGAAUUACUGGGUGUAAAGGGUGCGUAGGCGGUCACAUAAGUCAGAUGUGAAAACCCACUGCUUAACGGUGGGAAUGCAUUUGAAACUAUAAGACUAGAGUACAGGAGAGGUAAGUGGAAUUCCUAGUGUAGCAGUGAAAUGCGUAGAUAUUAGGAGGAACACCAGUGGCGAAGGCGACUUACUGGACUGAAACUGACGCUGAGGCACGAAAGCGUGGGGAGCAAACAGGAUUAGAUACCCUGGUAGUCCACGCUGUAAACGAUGAAUGCUAGGUGUAGGGGGUAUCGACCCCUUCUGUGCCGCAGUUAACGCAAUAAGCACUCCGCCUGGGGAGUACGGUCGCAAGACUGAAACUCAAAGGAAUUGACGGGGGCCCGCACAAGCGGUGGAGUAUGUGGUUUAAUUCGACGCAACGCGAAGAACCUUACCAAGGCUUGACAUCCUGUGACAGCCAUAGAAAUAUGGACUCUUCUUAGUUUACUAAGACACAGAGACAGGUGGUGCAUGGUUGUCGUCAGCUCGUGUCGUGAGAUGUUGGGUUAAGUCCCGCAACGAGCGCAACCCCUACAGCCAGUUGCCAGCACAUAAAGGUGGGAACUCUGGCAGAACUGCCGUUGACAAAACGGAGGAAGGUGGGGAUGACGUCAAAUCAUCAUGCCCCUUAUGUCUUGGGCUACACACGUACUACAAUGGCCUGAACAGAGGGAAGCAAAACUGCGAGGUGGAGCUAAUCCCAAAAAGCCGGUCUCAGUUCGGAUCGUGGGCUGCACCUCGCCUACAUGAAGUCGGAAUCGCUAGUAAUCGCAGGUCAGCAUACUGCGGUGAAUACGUUCCCGGGCCUUGUACACACCGCCCGUCA
rnacentral:rRNA from 1 species